rnacentral:misc_RNA from 1 species
GAUGAAGAACGUAGCGAAAUGCGAUACGUAGUGUGAAUUGCAGAAUUCAGUGAAUCAUCGAAUCUUUGAACGCACAUUGCGCCCUUUGGUAUUCCAAAGGGCAUGCCUGUUCGAGCGUCAUUUGUACCCUCAAGCUUUGCUUGGUGUUGGGCGUCUUUUGUCUCCAGUUCGCUGGAGACUCGCCUUAAAGUCAUUGGCAGCCGGCCUACUGGUUUCGGAGCGCAGCACAAGUCGCGCUCUUAGCCAGCCAAGGUCAGCGUCCAGCAAGCCUUUUUUCAACCUUGACCUCGGAUCAGGUAGGGAUACCCGCUGAACUUAAGCAUAUCAAUAAGCGGAGGA